rnacentral:rRNA from 1 species
CCCCCACUUAGGGUUAAGGAGCCGAUAUCAGGCACAAUACUUGCCCAAAACAUCUAGCCACGCCACACCCACAAGGGUUCUCAGCAGUGAUUAACAUUAAAAAUAAACGUCAGUUUGACUUAGCCAAUGAAAAUUAGAGCCGGCUAAUCUGGUGCCAGCCGCCGCGGUUACACCAGUGGCUCAAAUUGAUUCCACACGGCGUAAAGCGUGAUUAAAGAAACAAAUUACUGGGGUUAAACUUGAACUAAGCCGUAGUACGCUUGUUUAAAAGAAAGCCCGCAUCCUUCGAAAGACACCCCAACUUAUCAACUUGAACUCACGACAACUGGGACACAAACUGGGAUUAGAUACCCCACUAUGCCCAGUCAUAAACUUUUACUUACAUCUAUAUCGCCAGGGAACUACGAGCAAAGCUUAAAACCCAAAGGACUUGACGGUACCCCACAUCCCACUAGAGGAGCCUGUCCUAUAACCGAUACCCCUCGUUCAACCUCACCACUUUUAGUUCUUCAGCCUGUAUACUUCCGUCGCCAGCUUACCGUGUGAACGUAUUAGUGAGCUCAAUGUCAACCAUCAACACGUCAGGUCAAAGUGCAGCAAACAAAGUGGCAAGAGAUGGGCUACACUCUCUAUCAUAGAAGACACAAAAACUAUAUGAAACUAUAGUCAAAAGGUGGAUUUAGCAGUAAGAUGAAAAUAGAGUAUUCCUCUUAACUCGGCACUGGGGCGUGUACACACCGCCCGUCACCCUCUUCAAUAAGGCUUUACAGUA